UCGCACAAGCGGUGGAGCAUGUACGGUUUAAUUCGAUGCAACCCGAAGAACCUUUACCAGGUCUUGACAUCCAUUGACAGGUUUAGAGAUAAAUCUUUCCUUCGGGACAAUGGAGACAGGUGGUGCAUGGUUGUCGUCAGCUCGUGUCGUGAGAUGUUGGGUUAAGUCCCGCAACGAGCGCAACCCUUAUCAUUAGUUGCUAACAGUAAGAUGAGCACUCUAAUGAGACCGCCGGUGACAAACCGGAUGAAGGUGGGAUGACGUCAAAUCAUCAUGCCCCUUAUGUUCUGGGCUACACACGUGCUACAAUGGCCGGUACAGACGGACGCAAAGCCGCGAGGUGGAGCAAAUCCUAAAAAGCCGGUCUCAGUUCGGAUUGCAGGCUGCAAUUCGCCUGCAUGAAGUUGGAGUUGCUAGUAAACGCAGGUCAGCCAUACUGCGUUGAAUACGUUCCCGGGGCUU
rnacentral:rRNA from 1 species